rnacentral:rRNA from 1 species
GAUCCUGGCUCAGGAUGAACGCUAGCGACAGGCUUAACACAUGCAAGUCGAGGGGCAGCGGGGGUAGCGAUACCCGCCGGCGACCGGCGCACGGGUGAGUAACNCGUAUGCAACUUGCCUAUCAGAGGGGGAUAACCCGGCGAAAGUCGGACUAAUACCGCAUGAAGCAGGGAUCCCGCAUGGGAAUAUUUGCUAAAGAUUCAUCGCUGAUAGAUGGGCAUGCGUUCCAUUAGG